rnacentral:lncRNA from 1 species
AAUGCUACCAUUAUUUCUGAAGUUCUGGAGAAAGCAAAGGAUGUGAUGCUGGUUUCCCAUUUGACAAGUGCAACCGAAAAUGCUGAAGUAAUGACUAGAAAUUCCCAAGUUAUGGAGAAAGCGAAAGAUAUGAUGACAAGAGCAGCAGAAACUGCUAAAAAUGUUUCUAAUCAAGAAAUGAAAGAUGCUAUUACUCCACCGAGCACUAGUGUUCAAACCAACUUGCCUUCUACCGAGAGAAAGAAACUCGAAGAUCGCAAAAAAGAGUGAUGAUAUUCUUCCUUCGCUAGCAUUUGAGAUGACAUGCCAUUUUGAUCGCAGUUGGUGUGAUUGAUAGGUCUGAUGUUUGACUUUUUUGUUGGUUUUUUUUAAAAAGAAAAUGGUUCCAUAAUAUGAUUUUAAACACACCAUUCUUCUAAUUGCCAAAUUUGAAUACAUAUAUAUAUACAUAUGGUGGCAUUUGGCAUCCAAUGCACAAGAAGCACAAGGGUAUUAAUUGUUUAGCAGCUCACAUUCCUCUGUUUCUUUUCUGGUCCAGAAGAGAACCAACUAAAUACUCCAUUUCUAACCGGGAUCGUGUAACCUAAAGCUUUACACUAUUAACGAAAUGGGAAAGCAUCAAAAUUUAUCACCUUUCAAGUGUCAUAAAAUUCUGCAAUAAUCAAAUUUUAUUACCCACAAUGGCCUUAAAAUUUAUUACAUAAUAUGUGGUAGAACAAACCUACAAGGGGUUCACUUCAAGGCAUCAUCAAAAUUUACAUUUUGGAACAACAAACAGUGAUUGUCGCCAUGGCUCUGCAUCCAUCUAAUGUUCUUUUUCUUCCUUGAAGCUCUCAUCAAGAGAAGUAGACAAGUCAAAAUUUUUUACUUCGGGUGUCUGUAAAGCUUCAUCAUUAUCGUAGUCCCCAUCACAUCCUCCAUCAUCUGGUUGUGGAGAUGAGAAGUCCAAGCACAGUCCUUGAAUUACUUGCUCAUAUGAAUCAGAGAGAUCUUGGGAAGUUAGCCGGUGGUACUCUACUAAUUGGUGAAGGUAUUGAUUUUCUCUAAUCAGAUUUGCAUUCUCAUUUGCUAAUCUGGAUUUCUCAGCAAGCAAUGCCUCCAACUGAAGCCUCACCUGUCCAAAACCAAUAAUACCCAGAACAGUUAUUGAGCCUUUUUGCUUUUCGAUACAAAAGAAUAUUUGAUUUGGGGGGGAAAGAUAUUUUAAGUACCAGAUCAUCUUCUUCUGGUCUAAUUCCUUUACCAAAUCCAUCUCGAAGCCUCCUGUUCUCUUCCUCAAGCAAACUACACCUUUCCUGCAUAAAGCAUAAAUCUGACUUUUUCGACUUCAGUUCCCUUGCAAGUGAAGCUGCCUUUGUGGCCAUGGAAAUUGCAAUCUGUAGAAGACAGUUAAAACAACAGGGAGAAAUUAGUAUAAACUUGAUGGGUUUAUCAUGGUCAAGAAACAGAAUAAGCAUAGAGAGAAACCAACAUUUUUGGCUCUCUUCAUCAUUUUCUUCUCUUUUGGGCUUUCCUCUUUUUGUGUAUGCGAAUCAUCUACUUGACAAUCUGAACAAUCUUCUGGGUCAUACUUCCUCUUCAAACUCUUCUGUGACUCUUGUUUUUCUUCUUGGCUUUGCUUCAAAUCUUCGUGUUUACCUUCCUCCUCUGAAUUCUUUAAAUUGCUUAGAAAUAUUUCAGUCAAUGUGGGUGGCUUCGCUAGAUUUCUAGCUCCCUGGUAAUAACAGAGCAAACAAUAAAGAGUUGAGUCCAAGAUCUCCUCAUUACCAGAAGCCUAAGUUUCUAGAAAGAUUCACCAAAUCUUAUAUUUGUAUCAUGUACUCUUGUGUUUUGGCAAGAUCUCCUUAGCAAUUUGUUUAAAUGAACUGUGCCAAGCAGAUUUCAGAUUUUACGUAAACUCGAAAUCACCUGAAGAGCAUUGUCCAGAUUGUUAGACAGCUGAGACAGAGUUUGUGAAAUUGAAUCAAAUCCUCUCAGCAAAAGCAUAGAAUCUUCCUUCAGCCGUUUACCCGUCCCCGAUUCUCCCACAUCCUUCACCAAAAAAACAAAAAAACAAAAACAACACAAAAUAAAAAAAUAACCGUCACUAACUUAAGGAAAAAAAAAAAAUUAGGGCAGAAAGUGACUGUAUGAAAGGGCAAAGUUGAGUAAGCAGUAUACCUGGGGCGGAAUUUGGCCGCUUACAUCCUUGUUACGAUCUUGAAGAAGGGUUUCGACCCGGCCAUUAAGAGCACUCCAAAAACGGCGAUCUGAAGCAGGACUGAACAGAGGAGAAGUAACCAUGAAGUUUGGAGAUCUCUGCAAUCAAAAGAAACCCUUUAAUUAAUAUUCGAUUACCAUUUUUUCUUUAAAAAAAAAAAAGCGAUUUGGGUCGUGGAUACCUUGUUAACAUGAACUGGAGAUGGUGUAUCGACUGAAGCCUCCAUGAGAGAGAAAGAGAGAGAGAAGUAACGGCUAGUUUAUGGGGGGAAGUCAUUAUGAUGUGAAUUUAAAUAGAGGCACCGAUUUCGCCAACGUUCUAAAAUCUAAUAAUAGUUGAAAGUUGAUUGGGCCCACAACUCUCAAGUUCAACGCGAUCAAGUGGACACCUGACGAAUCUAACGGCCGAUGAUUAUUGAUUGAAGGCGUGAUUGGAGCCCACUGUUGAUCCCGGAACGGGAACAAAAAGCUUCUGUACUUUGUUUAUACUUAAAAUUUACUUGUUAUUUCUUAUUUUUUUUGGAAUUUUCUUUUAUUUAUUUUUUUUUAAUUUCCCCCCCCCUCUCUUGGGUCCUCCUUCCUGAUGAGAUGGUUCCUCACUUUCUGAGCAGGCACAAGAACAUUCUUCAUAGUUCAUCUUUUGAUAUUCUCUUCGAAGCUAAGUUGGAAAUAUCAUCAGCUUGACUUUUAUGCUGCGAUUCAGUUCCCCCCCUAAUGUUUUCUUCCUGCAGUGAUUGUUCUCUUUCCCUGAUUGGUAAGUCCUCUCACUAGAACGGUUGGUUUUUACUCCAGUAAAGAAAGAACCAGGGCACUAUGAUCAUCACAAACAUAGUUAGAAGAUUUAGAAAGAAAUGUGUUGUUUGUUAUUUUUCGGGUUUAUUAUGGAUUGGCAGUGAGUAUCGUAUAAUAAUUGAUUUAACAAUGUCAAUGGCUCAACUUGUUAGUGCUAUUGACGGAGUUAUAAUGAUUAAGUUGAGUUUAUUCUUCAUAAAUCAUGACGUAUUAAAUUUUUCAUGGCAGUUAAAUUUUUCACGAUGAAUAAACAUUGAAAUUAGUUAUAGAACUUGGAAUUGUGUAAGAAUCAAAUUUUACUAUUACAACCAUGUGUGGUAGAAAAGACAUAUACAAUUACAUUGAAAGUGUUACGAAAUUCCUCUGCAUCUAACCUUAUCGAUCUUCUAUUUCUUAUCUUUCUUGAAGCUCUAAUCAACACAAGUCAAAAAAUCGUUGCCUAAUGGUGUUUGGGAAAAAGCUUCAGUAUUAAUUGUUCAUAGGAAGCAAUACAUCUUGGGAAGUUACUCGAUG